rnacentral:rRNA from 1 species
AUAUCGACGAGUUUGAUCAUGGCUCAGAAUGAACGUUGGCGGCGUGGAUUAGGCAUGCAAGUCGAGCGGAAAGGCCCGCAAGGGCACUCGAGCGGCGUAAGGGACAGUAAUGUGUAGGUAACGUACCCCUGGGUCUAGGAUAGCUGCGGGAAACUGCAAUUAAUACUAGAUAACGUCUCCGGACCAAAGGUGUGAUUCCACCUGGGGGAGCGGCCUACAUCCUAUUAGCUAGUUGGCGAGGUAAUGGCUCACCAAGGCGAAGAUGGGUAGCAGGUGUGAGAGCACGACCUGCGUCACUGGGACUGAGACACUGCCCAGACACCUACGGGUGGCUGCAGUCGAGAAUCUUCGGCAAUGGGCGAAAGCCUGACCGAGCGACGCCGCGUGUGGGAUGAAGGCCUUCGGGUUGUAAACCACUGUCGGAGGGGAUGAAGUGUUAGUGGGUUCUCCCAUUAACUUGACUGAUCCUCGGAGGAAGGGUGGGCUAAGUUCGUG